AGUGAACGCUGGCGGCAGGCCUAGCACAUGCAAGUCGAACGGCAGCGCAGGAGAGCUUGCUCUCUGGGUGGCGAGUGGCGGACGGGUGAGGAAUAUAUCGGAAUCUACCCUUUCGUGGGGAUAACGUAGGGGAACUUACGCUAAUACCGCAUACGAACUGAGGUUGAAAGCGGCGGACCGCAAGGCGUCGCGCGGAUGGAUGAGCCGAUAUCCGAUUAGCUCGUUGGCGGGGUAAAGGCCCACCAAGGCGACGAUCGGUAGCUGGUCUGAGAGGAUGAUCAGCCACACUGGAACUGAGACACGGUCCAGACGCCUACGGGAGGCAGCAGUGGGGAAUAUUGGACAAUGGGCGCAAGCCUGAUCCAGCCAUGCCGCGUGUGUGAAGAAGGCCUUCGGGUUGUAAAGCACUUUUGUUGGGAAAGAAAAGCGGUCGGUUAAUACCCGGUCGUUCUGACGGUACCCAAAGAAUAAGCACCGGCUAACUUCGUGCCAGCCGCCGCCGUAACAC
rnacentral:rRNA from 1 species